rnacentral:rRNA from 1 species
UACAGAGGGUGCAAGCGUUGUCCGGAAUUAUUGGGCGUAAAGGGCGCGUAGGCGGUUUUUUAAGUCGGAUGUGCAAUCCCCGGGCUCAACCUGGGAACUGCAUCCGAGACUGGAAGGCUAGAGUACUGGAGAGGGUGGUGGAAUUCCUCGUGUAGCGGUGAAAUGCGUAGAGAUGAGGAGGAACACCAGUGGCGAAGGCGGCCACCUGGACAGUAACUGACGCUGAGGCGCGAAAGCGUGGGGAGCAAACAGG